rnacentral:lncRNA from 1 species
GGACACUGGGACACAGGUUCAAUCCCCAGCCUGGCACAGUGGUUUAAGAAUCUGGCAUUGCCAUAGCUGUGGCAUGAGUCUCAACUGUGGCUUGAAUCUGAUCCCUGGUCCAGGAACUCCAAGUGCCAUGGGGUGGCCAAAAAGGAAAAAAAAGUUAUUAUAAAGAAGGGGUGGCUAAAUAUGGUAUCUCCAAAUAAUAAACAUUGUAGAGCCAUUAAAAUGGUAUUAAUGUAUACUGAACUACCUAUUAUAAUCCCAAUUUAUUAAAACAUGCACCAGGAUCUCACAUAUAAAAUGCUCUAAGGGGGGAUUUCCCAUUGUGGCUUAGGUUAAGAACCCAAUCACUGCUGUCUCUGUGAAGAUGUAGGUUCGAUCCCUGGCCUUGCUUGGUGGGUUAAGGAACCAUUGUUGCCACAAGCUGUGGCAAAGGUAACAGAAGCAGCUUGGAUCUGGCAUUGCCGUGGCUAUGGCAUAGCCCUGCAGAUAUAGCUCUGAUUCAACCCCUGGCCUGGGAACUUCUAUAUGACACAGGUAAGGCCAUAAAAAGAUAAAUUAAAAAAUAAAAAUAAAUUUGUCAACGGGGGAAUGAAGGGUGGUUUUAAGUUCUUUCUUCAUAUAAUCUUUGAUACAGGUUCACUAAUACAUUUACUCUCAAACUGGUAUCCCUUCAGAUAUUCUGUUGGUUUACCGAGUCAUUCUAACUUAAACUCAGUUAUUAUUCCAUGGCAGGGAGAACAGUCUGGAUAGCAAGAAAUGACAUCUUGUUUGACUGUCAAAACUCUCCAACAAGAGUGCUGCAACUUGAUCUCUCAAAUGUGAGUCUCACCAACCCAGAGAUGUCAUGUACCAGCAUGUUUGGAAAGAUAUUUGUGUAGCCAUCAGAAUGCAUCCAUUACCUUUCUGUAUGGUCCCUCACAUUCUAGAUUUGGAUGCAAGCCUAAAACAUCUUUGGCUCCAGUGUACAGAAGUCCCUAGAGAGAGAAACAGAACUGGUAUUUCUUGAACACCCAGUAUGUGUAAAGCGCAACACCGCAGUUCACCAGUAUUUCUAAGUGAAAAGAAUGUCUUAGGAAGAGUGAAAAGCUAUCCUCAAGACAAAGUAUCAAGCUGAGAAUCACACUUUUGUCAACGUCAACCCCAGGGAAGGCAUGGUAAAAAUAAAGCCACACCAGGGUGGUGAAAAUAGAAAUCAAAAGGAGAAAGAUUUGGAGCCUAAUGCUGUAAUUAGUUUUGUAAUUACAUAAGACUGUCCAGAACUGGGAAUGUGAGCUCUUAGAAAGUAAAUAAAUUUAAAUGAGAAGUGCUUAACUAAAAAUUUUAUAAGACACUAAUUGAUUUUAGUAAAAAGGCAUUAUGUAAAGUGUAGUCAGCAGGAUUACUGAAAUGGGGAAGUUCGCAUCUUAGAGUUUAAUGGAACAUCAUUCUAAUUGCAGAAACCCAGUCUCAGCAGAAAAUAGGAGCCAACAGUAUGUGAUUAGCUAGAAGGAGGUUGUUUUUCAUGGCUGAGAGGAAGAGAAGGCAGGGCCUGGGGGAAAAAAAUCUCUUCUGGUUUUGCAGCUACACAAGUGAUAACCAACUGAUUUCUGACCUGAACACCAAACUCAAGAAUUCCAUAAUCAGUCAAACAUUUCUUGGUGUUAGAGAAAGGUAUCCCUUCAAUCUGGGCCACUGGUUCAAGCAUUGGUCCAGAGAAGCAAGGACAAAGUCAAGACGUGAGAGAAAGUGAGGCAUAUUUUUACUUUUUCUCCUAUAAAGACUUGAAGCCAUAUUUAUUUUCCAAUAAAUAUCCUCAUUCUACUUUCUCACAAUCUUUCUCUAACAAAGGAUAAUUCCCUGUUAUCUUUUUAUCUAAAAAGUUCCUCUCAAAAAGGUAGUAAAAUUGUUGUGUUAACAUGAGCAAUACCAAGUCAGUUCUAAUGAUUGAGUUUGAAAUGAAAUAUAGUUAUUCAGAAGGACAUAUUACAAAGCCGAGCUCUGUUUUAUGGUAUCCCUAGGGAGAAACCCUAGUGGAUAUUGAUUUAAUGAGUCAAAGUAAAGGCUUUGUAGGUAAAAUUGCCUAAUGAUAUAAUUAGGCAUUUGAUCAAAUGUAAUGUUUGAGCUCUCCUUUAGUAUUGCAAUGGACAUGUAGAAACAAUAGUAAUUCUUUGGUUCUCAAUUAAAAAACAGGAUGGGUCAAUAAACAAAAACGUUUCCUUUUGUUUUCUUCUGAUCUUUAGAACAUCUGUGAUAAGGUAUAGAUCAAUUACUAGAGAUGCCUUUAGACCUGACAUGUGUUCAACAGGUACACUGAUUUAAUCAUUCAGGAUAAUUCUGUGCUCACCUAGUGCAGGUUAGGAUUCAGAUUGAUAGAUACACACUACUAAUAAAUAACAGAUGGGUAACAAGGACCUACUGUAUAGCACAGGGGAAUUUACUCAAUUCUAUGUAGUAACCUAUAUGGGAAAAGAAUCUGAAAAGGAAUGAAAUAUAUCCAUAUAUAAUAUAUGGAUACAUAUAUACUCAUCUAUAAUUUACUUCACUAUGCCUGAAAUUAACACAACUUUGUAAGUCGACUAUUUCAAUAAAAAAUUUUUAAAAAGAUACUACAAUCUUCAUUCUUUCAAUUGUAUCCGAAACUUAAUUGUCUGGACAGCACCAAGAUACCAAGGAGAAAUGUACUCAAUUUACCCGUUAGACUCUGAGAGGUUUUGAAGGGUAGGCAGAUUAAGCUCAGGAAACUUGACUCUUUGAAUAAUGGCGACAGUUGUUAGGAAAAUUGUAUGUUGACAAUCUAGCCCCUCCAGGGUGAUGAAUGGUUUUCCCUUGGAUUUAUUUUUUAAUUUAUUUUUUAAUUUUUUUAAUGAUUUUUAUUUUUUCCAUUAUAAUAAGCAAACUAUUUUUUCACUUUGAGAUCAUUACAGGGGUUACCAAGAUAGCAGAGAUCUGGGUCCCUUCUAUCUUUUACCCAGAUUAUACACAGGUUCCAUCUAAUAUCUAACACAUCGAAAGCAGGAAUUUCACAUUGGCACAAUGUCUGUGUGUGUGCACUGUGUUAGAUAGAAAACUAUUCAAUUACCACAGAUCUGCCACUCUCCAUUCCUAAUCCUUGACAGCUGCUAACUUCAAAUUCCAUCUCUAUAAAAAUUCAGCCUGAUGCCCUUGAAAUCCAUCAUGUGUCAACAGUUCAGGCAAUUUUAUUGCUGAGUGGUGUCCCAUGUACAAUGAUACACAGUUUGUUUAGCCUAUUUAUCUAUUAAGGUGUAUUUGGAUUGGCUGUUACAAAUAAAAUUGCCAUGACCAGUCAUGUACAAGUUUUUGUGUGAACAUUUUUCCAUUUGUAUGUGACAAAUGCCUAGGAGUACAAUUGCUGGGUCACAUGCUAAGGGUAUGUAUAAUUUUUUUUUUCAAGAAUGGUUACACCAUUUUACAGGGUGAGUUUUGAGUGCUCUUUAUGCAUUAUAGAUAUGAAUCCUUUGAUAGCUAUGUACUUUGCAAAUAUUUUCUCCCCAUCCGUAGCUUGUCUUUGCCUAACUGUAUCUUUCACAGAGUACAGGUUUUAAAUUUUGAUGAAGUCCAAUUUAUCAAUUUUUCUGUUUGAUCAUGCCUUUUGUGUCAGGUCUAGCAACCUUCCAUCAAGCCCUAGGAGGUCCUAAAGAUUUUCUCUCAUGUUGUCUUCUAUAAGGUUAAUAGUUUCAUGUUUAUAUUUAAAUAUAUAAUCCAUUUUGAGUUAAUUUUUCUGUAAUAAUAUGUGAGGUUUAAGGUUCAUUUUUUUUUGCCUAUGGAUGUCUAAUUACUCCAGUACCUUGUGCUGAAAAGACUAUACUUCCUCCACUGAUUUGUUUUUGCAACUUUCUCAAAAAUCAUUUGGCUAUAACUGUGUGAGUCUAUUUUGGGAUUCUAUAUUCUGUUCUGUUUAUCCAUGUGUCUAUCCCUCCACCCAACAUAAGUCCUGAUUGGCAUAUGCAUACUAUGUUAUAUGGAAUGAUGGGUCAGCAGGGAACUUCUGAAUAGCACAGGGAGGUCUACCCAAUAUUCUGUGGUGGUCUCUAAGGGAAAAGAAUCUGAAAAAGAAUGGAUGUGUGUAUAUGUAUAACUGAAUCACUCUGUUGUUCAGCAGAAAUUAUCACAACAUUGUAAAUCAACUAUACUUCAAUAAAGCUUAAAAUGUUGUAAUUACUACAUAAUCUUGAACAUGAUAAAGUGAUUACUUCCACUUUAUUGUUUUUUUCCAGAAUUAUUUUUAGUUAUGUUAGUUGUGUUGCUUUUCCAUGUAAAUUUUAUAGUUGUCUCUAUCUACAAAACUAUGAUUUGUUAAAUCUGUAUGGUAAUUCUAGGAGAGCUGGUUUUUACUAAUGGGAGUCAUAUUCUGUGAACAUGGAGUAUUUCUCCACUUAUUCAGAUUCUUUUGUAGCAUUGUUUUUAGCUUACAAGUCCUAUACCGGUUUUCAUAGAUUUACACAUUAAGUGUUUCAAGUUUUUGGAAAUUGUAAUUGGUAUUGUAUUUUAAAUUUCAUUUUCCAUGUAUUCAUUGGUAGUAUAUAGAAAUAUAAUACAGUUAAUUUUUGUGUGUUUAUCAUGUAUUUAACACCUCAUUAAACUUAUUGCUAUUAGGAGGUUUUGUGUUUGUUUUAUAGAUUCUCUGGGGUUAUCUAUGUAGAACAUCAUGCUUUCUACAGAAGAGACAGUUUUAGUUCUUCUUUUUUGAUACAUGUGCUUUUUCUUUUAUUUCCUUAUCAAGCUGGAUAAAAAUCCCUGUACCGUGGUGAAGAAGAGUGGUGAGGUCAGUCAUCUUUGUUUUCUUCCUGAUUUUAAAGCACAAGCAUUUAGUCUUUCACCAUAAAGUACAAUAUUAACCUUAGUCGUUGUUGUUUUUGUAGAUGUGCUUUAUCAAUUUGAGGGCGUUCAUCUCUAUUCUUAUCUUUCUGAGAGAUAUUUAAAAUUAUAAACAGGCACUGAAUGUUGUCAGAUGUUUUCUUCCUGCCCUGACUGAUACGAUCUUGUCAUGUUUUCUUUCAUCUGUUAAUAGGGUAAGUUAUAUCAGCUGCUAUCUGAGUAUUUUGACAACCUUGCAUCCCUGGAAGAAACUGCAAUUGGUCAUGACAUAUAUUUCUUUUCAUAUAUUACUGAAGCCUAUUUGUAAAUAUUUUGUUAAGGAAUCUUGGGUUUAUGUCCAUGAGGGAUACUGCUGUAUACUUGCUCUUUUAUAUCGCCUUUGUCUGGUGUGGAUUUAUAAUAACACUAGUUUCAU